rnacentral:rRNA from 1 species
UACGCACGCUGGCGGCGUGCUUAACACAUGCAAGUCGAACGGAAAGGCCCUGCUUUUGUGGGGUGCUCGAGUGGCGAACGGGUGAGUAACACGUGAGUAACCUGCCCUUGACUUUGGGAUAACUUCAGGAAACUGGGGCUAAUACCGGAUAGGAGCUCCUGCUGCAUGGUGGGGGUUGGAAAGUUUCGGCGGUUGGGGAUGGACUCGCGGCUUAUCAGCUUGUUGGUGGGGUAGUGGCUUACCAAGGCUUUGACGGGUAGCCGGCCUGAGAGGGUGACCGGCCACAUUGGGACUGAGAUACGGCCCAGACUCCUACGGGAGGCAGCAGUGGGGAAUAUUGCUCAAUGGGCGGAAGCCUGAUGCAGCAACGCCGCGUGCGGGAUGACGGCCUUCGGUUUGUAAACCGCUUUCGCCUGUGACGAAGCGUGAGUGACGGUAAUGGGUAAAGAAGCACCGGCUAACUACGUG